rnacentral:rRNA from 1 species
CCCAGUUCAGGGAGGUAGUGACAAUAAAUACCUUACAGAGGUCUCGUUAACCGAGAUCUCUCAAACGGAAUGAGUACAACGUGAAUCCUUUAACGAGGAUCGACUGGAGGGCAAGCCUGGUGCCAGCAGCCGCGGUAAUUCCAGCUCCAGUAGCGUAUAUUAAAGCUGUUGCGGUUAAAAAGCUCGUAGUUGGAUAUCAGUGCGUGUCCGGUCCGGUAUGCCUGGCGCUGUCGCUCGCGCGGCAAUGCUGGGCUCCCAAAUAUCGGCUGGCCGCAUUCAAUCGUGCCGGAUCCGUCGGCGGGCCGUUCUUCGGAGGGGCCUGUUGGCGGCCGGCGACGUUACCUUGAACAAAUUAGAGUGCUCAAAGCAGGCUCUGUAUGCCUGUAUACAUAUUCAUGGAAUUGGAGAAUACGUCCCUGGCUCGAUUUGGUUGGUUUUGAGAGUCGAAGGGAAAUGAUUAAUAGGGACUGACGGAGGCAUUCGUAUUGCGACGCGAGGGGUGAAAUCCUGUGACCGUCGCACGACGAACUACUGCGAAAGCAUUUGCCGAGAAUGUUUUCAUUAGUCAAGAACGAAAGUUAGAGGUUCGAAGGCGAUCAGAUACCGCCCUAGUUCUAACCGUAAACGAUGUCGACCAGCAAUCCGCAACGGUCACUACACGGACUGUGCGGGCAGCUUCCCCGGGGAAACCAGAGUUUUUGGACUCCGGGGGAAGUAUGGUUGCAAAGCUGAAACUUAAAGGAAUUGACGGAAGGGCACCACCAGGAGUGGAGCUUGCGGCUUAAUUUGACUCAACACGGGACAACUCACCAGGCCCGGACACCGUAAGGAUUGACAGACUGAUAGCUCUCUCUUGAUUCAGUGGGUGGUGGUGCAUGGCCGUUCUUAGUUGGUGGAGUGAUUUGUCUGGUUUAUUCCGAUAACGAACGAGACUCUGGCCUAUUAAACUUGACACUGUCAGUCUCUUGUGACUGCGGUGCGCUUCUUAGAGGGAUCAUCGGCGUCCCAGCCGAAGGAAAGGGAGCAAUAACAGGUCUGUGAUGCCCUUAGAUGUUCUGGGCUGCACGCGUGUUACACUGAAGUGGUCAGCGCGCCGUUCAACACCCCUCUCCGUGAGGAGCUUGGGCAAACGUUUGAACCCUUUUCGUGAUGGGAAUUGGGGGUUGCAAUUG